rnacentral:rRNA from 1 species
CCUGAUGCAGCAACGCCGUGUGAGUGAAGAAGGUUUUCGGAUCGUAAAACUCUGUCCUAAGGGAAGAAACAAAUGACGGUACCUUAGGAGGAAGCCCCGGCUAACUACGUGCCAGCAGCCGCGGUAAUACGUAGGGGCAAGCGUUAUCCGGAAUCACUGGGCGUAAAGGGUGCGUAGGCGGCUUAGCAAGCCAGGGGUGAAAGGCAUUGGCUCAACCAAUGUAAGCCUUUGGAACUGUUAAGCUUGAGUGCAGGAGAGGUAAGUGGAAUUCCUAGUGUAGAGGUGAAAUUCGUAGAUAUUAGGAGGAACACCAGUGGCGAAGGCGACUUACUGGACUGUAACUGACGCUGAUGCACGAAAGCGUGGGUAGCGAACAGGAUUAGACACCCUGGUAG